CCGGGCACGGCGGGCGGAAGGAACCGAGCCGGCUGCCACCGUGUCCCCGCCGGAGCCGCCGCCGCCGCCGCCAACGGAGCGUCGCGGGCCCGAUCGCGCGGACCGCCCUCCCCGCGCCACGUCCCAGCGCCGCCCGCCCGCCGCCCGCGCACCUGGGCGCCCGCCGCCUCCCGGCUCCGCUCGGCCUCCGCGCCCGCACCGGCCUUCACUCUGGAGCGGCCCCGGCAGCCGCAGCAGGGGCGGCGGCGGCGGAUCGAGGAGCUCUCCAGGUCGUCCCGGGAGCGGCUGCUGCAGUCCCGGGACAGGAUGUUCUCCAAGUUCACCUCCAUCCUGCAGCACGCCGUGGAGGCGCUAGCACCCUCUCUUCCUUUACAAGAGGAUUUCGUUUACCACUGGAAGGCAAUUACCCAUUACUACAUAGAGACUUCGGAUGACAAAGCCCCAGUGACAGAUACAAAUAUUCCAUCUCAUCUGGAACAGAUGUUAGAUAUAUUGGUACAAGAAGAAAAGGAACGGGAAUCUGGAGAGACGGGGCCAUGUAUGGAAUACUUGCUUCAUCACAAGAUCCUGGAAACAUUAUAUACCUUAGGGAAAGCUGAUUGUCCUCCAGGAAUGAAGCAGCAGGUGCUGGGAUUCUACACCAAACUCCUGGGCAGAAUCAAGCAGCCGCUACUUCCGCACAUCAACGUGCACAGGCCCGUGCAGAAAUUAAUUCGACUCUGUGGUGAAGUCCUUGCAACACCAACGGAAAAUGAAGAAAUUCAGUUUCUCUGUAUUGUGUGUGCAAAACUGAAAGAAGAUCCCUAUUUGGUUAAUUUUUUUCUGGAGAAUAAGUUGAAAUCGUUGGCUUCCAAAGGAGCAGCCAGUGUCACUGCAGAAGACACGUUAAAAGGUGCAGAGUCCUUGUCCACAGACACGGGACAGCCCUGUCGGCCCGAGGAGCUGCCUGGUGCCUCCGGGACGGAGCAGACAGAGUUAGACGAUGAGCCUCCUCCUCAGACAGACGACCUGUCCACGGGCCUGGAGAACCUGAGUGUCGCGUCACUGCCGGAGGCCACGGUCGUCCGCCCAAACCAGGAUUACAACCUCGUGAAUUCCUUGUUAAAUCUCACCAGAAGCCCUGACGGCCGGAUAGCUGUGAAGGCCUGCGAGGGCCUCAUGUUGUUAGCGAGUUUGCCAGAGCCCAAGGCUGCCAAGUGCCUCACGCAGAGCACGUGCCUGUGCGAACUCCUGACCGACAGACUCGCCGCCCUGUACAAGGCCCUCCCUCCGUCGGUGGACCCCUUAGAUAUUGAAACUGUGGAGGCCAUAAACUGGGGUUUGGACUCAUAUAGUCAUAAAGAAGAUGCAUCGGCAUUUCCAGGAAAACGAGCCUUAAUUUCAUUUCUUUCCUGGUUUGAUUAUUGUGAUCAACUCAUAAAGGAAGCACAAAAGACCACUGCUGUUGCUCUUGCCAAAGCCAUCCAUGAAAGAUUUUUUAUUGGUGUUAUGGAACCUCAGUUAAUGCAAACUUCCGAGAUGGGUAUCCUGACGUCGACUGCUUUGCUUCAUCGCAUUGUUCGGCAAGUCACCUCCAAUGUUUUGCUUCAAGAAAUGGUGUUUUUUAUCCUUGGGGAACAGAGGGAGCCAGAAACUCUGGCAGAUAUGAACAGACACCCUUUAAGACACAGGUUAAUUGAACAUUGUGAUCACAUAUCUGAUGAGAUAAGCAUAAUGACACUAAGGAUGUUUGAACAUCUUUUACAAAAACCCAAUGAGCACAUUCUUUACAACUUGGUCCUAAGAAAUCUUGAAGAAAGAAAUUAUACGGAAUAUAAACCCUUGUGUCCAGAAGAUAAAGAUGUGGUAGAGAACGGACAGAUAGCAGGAGCAGUAGAUCUGGAAGAAGAUCCAUUAUUUACUGACAUUUCACCAGAUAACACUUUGUCAAACCAAGAAUGGCUUAGUUCUUCGCCACCUGCUACUCCAGACCACCCCAGAAAUGAUGGGAAGACUGAAGUCCAUAAAAUUGUGAAUAGUUUUCUCUGUCUGGUACCGGAUGAAGCGAAAUCCUCCUACCACGUUGAGGGCACAGGAUAUGACACCUACCUCCGAGAUGCUCACAGGCAGUUCCGGGACUACUGUGCUAUCUGCCUAAGAUGGGAGUGGCCUGGGUCUCCAAAAGCCUUGGAAAAGUGCAACUUAGAAGCCACUUUCUUUGAAGGUCAUUUUUUGAAAGUUUUAUUUGACAGAAUGGGAAGAAUUCUUGAUCAGCCAUAUGACGUAAAUUUACAAGUGACCUCGGUGUUGUCCAGACUGUCUCUCUUCCCUCAUCCACACGUACACGAAUACCUUUUGGAUCCCUAUGUGAACCUUGCUUCUGGCUGUCGGUCUCUCUUCUCUGUCAUUGUCAGGGUCGUCGGAGACCUUAUGGUUAGAAUCCAGCGUAUUCAAGACUUUACUCCCAAGCUUCUACUAGUCAGAAAGCGAUUACUUGGUUUAGAACCGGAAGGCCCUAUGGUGGACCACAUCACCUUGCUGGAGGGCGUGAUCGUGCUGGAAGAGUUCUGCAAGGAGCUGGCGGCCAUCGCGUUUGUGAAGUACCACGCUUCCUCCACGCCGUAGAUACCCCUCCCAGGUAACCAAGCGAACUGAACUGCUGUGCACAUUUCACCUCAUGAAGAGAGGACGAUAAAAGGCCCUUUUCAAUGAAGCAUUGCUGCAAACUGGACCGAAGCAUUUCGAACCCAUCGAGUGGGCAACUUCAGUACAAUGUUGUAUAAUAGUGUUUCCAUUGCUUUUUCAUUAAGGCGCCAUACAUAGAUGUGCACGUCCUUGAAUCCAGGACACAAUCAAAGGAACUUCCGGAAAUAAGCAUUUCUAAUGCCUGUGUGAAAGCCGCGGAAUUUCUGAUGUCAUGCCUUUGAUGUUUCUGUUAUUUUAAUAUCCUUUUUGGUAGCAAGGCAUUUUGGCAUUCUCUGGGACUCAGAUGCUUAUAUUCUUUUGGAUUAAUCUGAAGCAAAAAACAACAACAAUGAAUUUUUAUAACUUUUUAAGACUUCUAAUUGGAAACGUGUUUAUUCACUGGUAAGUUGAAAACAAUAAUUCCUAACACACAAAAGGGUAUGGCACACAACGAUCAAUAGGUCACUGCAGCAUUGACUUCAGGGAGAGAAUGGGAAAGAAUAUAUUCAUAUUUGUGGAGGGGAAUGUGCAGUUUGAAAGAUCCCCCUGGGUGAGCCUCAGAAAUGUGUCCCCCACACUUGGAAUAACGAUAAAGGCAGUGCUUAUUAAAAUACAUUUCAUUUUCAAAACUGAGCUCUCAGCAGUUGAAGUGUGUAUAUAUAUUUCUUUGGGACACCCUGUAUAUUAUCCACCCCACCCCUUAGGAAACAUUUCCUUAAAGGAAGGAAUGUUUGUAAAAGUCUUCAGAAAAUUCAUUGGAAGCAUUCCUUCUCAUAUAUUUAUAACACAUAUAAAAACUUUUCAACUGACAUUUAAAACAAUUAGACUCUAGGCUUAUCCCACUCACUUGAGUAUUUGCCGAAGUCCCUUAACGGAAAACGGAAAGAAAUGUAAAUCAUGGCACAACCAGAAAGAAAAAUGUAUCAAUCCCACCUACGUGAUUCUUUUCAGCCAGUAUUAUCCACAAUAGUGUUAGAAGGAAGUAAAGAGGAUAACAGGUUCUAAAGAUGCAGGGAGGUAAGGUUUAGGCUUUGAAGAGUUGAAAUUACCUUCCAUGCCUUGAGCUACAUCAAAGGAAACUGCGUUUUAGGGAUAUAUAAUCAGAUCCCCAGUCCAAACACCUGCUUCAGACUGCACCCAGUGAAGAAUGCGGCAGUGUUUCGCCUGUUAAACUAGUUAUCUCGUGGGAAUUUAAAGAAUUAACGUUAAAUUGUUAAGGUUGACAUUUUGUUAGAGUAAAAAACCAUGCUGCUUCCUCAAAAAAAUAACCAAGCAAACACACUUCAUGACAGUUGGAUGCUGACGAUCCAUGAAAGAAAUGGGAUAGUUUCUAGUUGGUCUUAAGCCAGUUAGGAAAGGUGUGGCCUGUGGGUCUAGCGGGAGACUGGUUAACUGUUGGUAUGGCUCACUCUCCACACCAGCGAGCUCCGUCUAGCGGCUAGCUAGCCCUAUUCCAUGCACACGCAUGACUCGUGGUUUGACUGUUGUGUAUGCAUUAGAGAUUUUCGUAGCAUUUCUAGAAAUGUACCAGAAAUAUGACACUUCUGUGUCACUCCAAAACAAAACGAAACAAGUUUGGUUCAUUCAACAAAUAUUUUUUGAGAACCUCAUGUGAACCAGGUUUUUAAGGUGCUGGAAAACAAUGAGAAGCAAUUCUGCCCCUGAGAAUUCAGUCUUGGUCAAGGCUCAGUGUGCGUAUGCAAAUCCAUUACAACACACACACACACACACACACACACACACACACUGGUGAACGCUGUGAGAGCGCAGAGAGGAGCAAGCAGUGUUGCAGAUCAUCUGAAGGGAAAAUCCAUACCUCAAGUCUUGACUGAUUCUUCCUCGUGAGUAUAGAAAUGCCAGGUAUCCUGAGAAGUCAUAACCGUGAACUCAACUCAGCAAGAAGUGGGGAGCUGUUCUGUACCCUAUUAUGUUUACCACGAUCCACUGCUUCCCCUUCAUUCUGAGGUUGGUAUACAGCACCAGCCCAAACAAGUGUGCUUUGGAGCCCAUAUUUUCUCAGAGGAUGAGUAGUAAUUACUGUACUGAUUUAAAUGAUCUCUUUCUAGAAUUAUUAUAGAGAGAAGGCAAAAAAGUCAAUUGGAAUAUUAAAACCAAAAGGUUUAAGUAGGCUUAAAAAAUGACCUCAACAUUAGGAGUAAGAUUUGGUUUAGAAGAAAACAUUUACAAAACCAAUCUUUCCUUCUUGCUUUAACUGAGCGCUCCCCUGACCACACACUCUAUUGCCGCCUGGGUUGGGGCACGAGGUGGCUGCAUAUCCAACUGAGAGAGAACCAGUUGGGGUGGAUGGGUCGAUGGCAACAGGAGCCGCGAAUCCAGAGCCACUGCUGGAUAUGGGAAGAGGUGGAAUGUGUAGAACUCCAUCCAUUCCUGGAAUUUAAGCCUGGGGUCAGGCUAGGGUCACACCUGCCAGGGAGCAAGAGGAAGAGCCCUGACCUCUGUUUCCCUUCCUCUACCUUUGGUCUUCUAGAGGUAGCCUCAAGGAAUUGCCUGGUUCCCCAAGGGUGAGCCUGAGGACUGAAGGAAAUCCAGUGUUAUAGUACAACCCUACUCAUCCCUCUAAUCAGACUAGUCAAGGAACCAACAGAACUUUUCUUUAAGAAAAAUGGGGGAGGGGGGUGAGGUAUUAAGGUAAUAUUUCUCUUGUCUGAGUAACCAAAGCCUGAAAUGUAAGCAGGACCCAGUAGGACUGUCAGAAAUUCCAGGACUGCCAUGUUACUUUGCUUCCAUCUGAGGAGGGGAGGGUGAGGAGCGAAGGAAGACAUCCUCUGAGUUUUAUAGCUUUAGUUUUGUAACGCUACUCAUGUUACGCGCAUUCAGUGGCAUGGUGAUCGUUCUAGUAAUUCUUAACAAAACGUUUCAUCCCAAUGAUACCCAAAAGGCUUCAGGAUAACAUUCCGUUUAGAGGAUACAAACAAGGCAAGAAGGAUACAUCCUGGGCUUAACAGACCAUCCUUUUUCAAAAUGCAUUUUUUAGGUUCAGAACCAGAAUCAGAACUGCAAGCUUGAUGUGGUUCUGAGAGAAAAAAAAUUAAAAAAAGAAAAGCAGGUCACGUGCCCAGCCCGUGAGACUAGGGAAGACAAAACCGAAACAUCGCCAAGCCUGUCACUGCCGCAGGCCUGCAAUUUAUGAGGAAGGAAUCGUAAAAUCAAUUUCACUGUAAUGCAGAAAGAUGAGAUGGCACACAGAUUCACUACAGGCUGGAUAAAGCUAUAUUUCAAGGCCCCGAAGAUGAGAUUCAUUUAUGUAAUAACACAAGAAAUGCAUUCCUCUCGCUCACAAGGAGAAUAGCAUGUGAGGUUUUAAUUGAUUAAGUUUCCCAGGAGAGCCAUGUACCAAAGAUUUCUACAGGAAAACAAAUUAGCCAUUCCUUAAACAUGAUUCUCCCCUGUUUGAAAUAUGCCCUCCUUCUUAAAUCUCUUUAUCCUGUUGCUCUUAUCAACAGUGUAGCAAGUCACAGAGCCUUUUAUGGUUCUAGAAUCUUUGUGGCUGCUUUGAUGACUUGAGUGUCCUGCGAUCUUUAUAUCCAUCCUGUUUUGGAAAUGAUUUAGAAUAUAGGCCAUCUUUUUCUUUUUUAAAAAAAAAUAUUUUAUUGAUUUUUUACAGAGAAGAAGGGAGAGAAACAGAGAGUUAGAAACAUUGAUGAGAGAGAAACAUCCAUCAGCUGCCUCCUGCACACCCCCUACUGGGGAUGUGCCUGCAACCAAGGUACAUGCCCUUGACUGGAAUCGAACCUGGGACCUUCCAACGCUCUAUCCACUGAGCCAAACCGGUUAGGGCACCAUCUUUUUCUUAAGCCACAUUGGUUUUGGGCUCCAACAGAAAUGAAAGUUGAGAAUCGAACAUCUACUUUUAGGAUAUAAAUAUUACCCCAAUAGUACAGGUACCUUGGUCUCCUGGACAGAAACGGGUUCCAUUUUAUUUUAUAAAGACCCAUAUCUUCUUAAAAGGAUCCAGUGUGCUGUAGUUUCACAUUGAAAAUACUGCUGGCAGGCGCACACGACUCAGUGGGUUUGGGUUCAGAACCACAUCCUGAAAAUAAUAAAGGUUGUAAAUGCAAACGAGCCCAGCCAUGCCUGGGUGUUUUUCUUUGGAAUUUGACACUGAAAUAAAAGUAAUUCUGCACAG